UAGGGAAUCUUCCACAAUGGGGGCAACCCUGAUGGAGCAACGCCGCGUGAGUGAGGAAGGCCUUCGGGUCGUAAAGCUCUGUUGCCAGGGAAGAACGCCAUGGAGAGUAACUGCUCCAUGGGUGACGGUACCUGAGAAGAAAGCCCCGGCUAACUACGUGCCAGCAGCCGCGGUAAUACGUAGGGGGCAAGCGUUGUCCGGAAUUAUUGGGCGUAAAGCGCGCGCAGGCGGUCUUUUAAGUCUGGUGUCUAAGUGCGGGGCUCAACCCCGUGAUGCAUCGGAGACUGGGAGACUUGAGUGCAGAAGAGGAGAGCGGAAUUCCACGUGUAGCGGUGAAAUGCGUAGAGAUGUGGAGGAACACCAGUGGCGAAGGCGGCUCUCUGGCCUGUAACUGACGCUGAGGCGCGAAAGCGUGGGGAGCAAACA
rnacentral:rRNA from 1 species